rnacentral:rRNA from 1 species
GACGAACGCUGGCGGCGUGCUUAACACAUGCAAGUCGAACGGAAAGGCCCUGCGUUCGUGGGGUGCUGGAGUGGCGAACGGGUGAGUAACACGUGAGUAACCUGCCCUUGACUUUGGGAUAACUUCAGGAAACUGGGGUUAAUACCGGAUAGCAGCUCCUGCUGCAGGGUGGGGGGGGGAAAGUUUCGGCGGUCGGGGAUGGACUCGCGGCUUAUGAGCUUGUUGGUGGGGUAGUGGCUGACCAAGGCUGGGACGGGUAGCCGGCCUGAGAGGGUGACCGGCGACAUUGCUACUGAGAGACGGCCCAGUCUCCUACGUUAGGCAGUAGUGGCGAGUAUUGCACAGCGGGCGCACGUGUGUGGAAGCGACGCCGCGGGUGUGAUGACGUCCUGCGGGGAAUGAACCGCUUUCGCCUGUUACGAAGCGGGUGUGACGGUACUCAGUAAAGAAGCACCGGCUAACUACGUG